UGCGUAGGCUGCGCGGAAAGUUGGGUGUGAAAGCCCUCAGCUCAACUGAGGAAUUGCAUCCAAAACUACCGUGCUCGAGGGAGACAGAGGUGAGCGGAACUCAAGGUGGAGCGGUGAAAUGCGUUGAUAUCUUGAGGAACACCGGUGGCGAAAGCGGCUCACUGGGUCUCUUCUGACGCUGAGGCACGAAAGCUAAGGUAGCAAACG
rnacentral:rRNA from 1 species